rnacentral:rRNA from 1 species
UAAGGAAUAUUGGUCAAUGGAGGCAACUCUGAACCAGCCAUGCCGCGUGCAGGAAGACGGUCCUCUGGGUUGUAAACUGCUUUUAUUCGGGAAUAAACCUAUCUACGUGUAGAUAGCUGAAUGUACCGAAGGAAUAAGGAUCGGCUAACUCCGUGCCAGCAGCCGCGGUAAUACGGAGGAUCCAAGCGUUAUCCGGAUUUAUUGGGUUUAAAGGGUGCGUAGGCGGCCUAUUAAGUCAGGGGUGAAAGACGGUGGCUCAACCAUCGCAGUGCCCUUGAUACUGAUGAGCUUGAAUGAACUAGAGGUAGGCGGAAUGUGACGAGUAGCGGUGAAAUGCAUAGAUAUGUCGCAGAACACCGAUUGCGAAGGCAGCUUACUAUGGUUUUAUUGACGCUGAGGCACGAAAGCGUGGGGAUCAAACA